AUGUGGUAUCGAACGACCGGUACAUUUAUAAAGAAAGAAGCUCAAAUAAAACCCUCAUAUUAUGGCCGUUUGCUCACCUAAAGCAAACUUCGUGAAAAUCGACAAUAAGAUCGACAAUUGCAGUGAUGUUAGAUCGUUGGCAGCAAGUGUGGGAGUUAUAUACCUUGGAUUCCCCAAAUACUUUGAAAGUCACUGGUGUCUAGCUAUUUUGGGUAUGCAGAAAAUGCAAAAGUAAAAAAGAAAAACAAGACAAUGCAAGUGGUACUCGUUGUCAUCUGGAAAGAUAAGCAUCGUCGUAAACAAGUCAACCAAGGAUCAAUAACGUUCAGGCAAGUCAUU